rnacentral:rRNA from 1 species
GUACCGAAAGAAUAAGAGGUUCCUAACUCUGUGCCAGCAGGAGCGGUAAGACAGAGACCUCAAGCGUUACCCGGAUUUACUGGGCGUAAAGGGUCCGCAGGUGGUCCGAUGCAUCUUUUGUUAAACUCCGAGGCUUAACUUCGGAACCGCAGGAGAUAUGGUCGGACUAGAGGCCGGGAGAGGCGAGCGGAAUUGCCGGUGGAGUAGUAAAAUGCGUUGAUAUCGGCAAGAACACCAAAUGCGAAGGCAGCUCGCUGGAACGCGCCUGACACUCAGGGACGAAAGCGUGGGGAGCAAAACGGAUUAGAUACCCGUGUAGUCCACGCCCUAAACGAUGGGUACUAGACAUUGGGAGUAUCGACCCUUUCAGUGUCGUCUAUCUAAGUUAACACUUUAAGUACCCCGCCUGGGAAGUACGGUCGCAAGACUAAAACUCAAAGGAAUUGACGGGAGUCUGCACAAGCGGUGGAGCAUGUGGUUUAAUUCGACAACAAGCGAGGAACCUUACCAAGGCUUGACAUGGUAGUUUGUAGUUGUCUGGAAACAGACAAUGACCGUUAACUCGGAAGCUAUCACAGGUGCUGCAUGGUUGUCGUCAGCUCGUGUCGUGAGAUGUUAGGUUAAGUCCGCUAACGAGCGCAACCCCUAUGUCGUGUUCAAUUGACGCGACAAACUGCAGUCACGAAGACUGAGGAAGGCGGGGAUGACGUCAAAUCAGCAUGGCCCUUAUGCCUUGGGCUACACACGUGCUACAAUGGUGAGUUACAAAGGGGCGCGAAACGGUAACGUGGAGCAAAUCCCAUCAAAGCUCACCUCAGUUCAGAUUGGGGUCUGCAACUCGACCCCAUGAAGAAGGAAUCGCUAGUAACCGUGAAUCAGCCUCGUCACGGUGAAUACGUUCUCAGACUUUGUACACACCGCCCGUCAAGUCAAGCGAGCUGGAAGUUCCUGAAAGUCGGUUGUGCCGGCUCAAGGAAAGUCUAGUGAGAGGGACUAAGUCGUAACAAGGCAUGGGUAGCGGAAGCUGCUCAUGGAUCACCUCCUUU